rnacentral:rRNA from 1 species
AUGGUCCUCCAUCAAUGUCGCCGAGGGCCUGGUCUUCGCCCCUUCCAUGGUCAUCUUCUUGACGGCGAAGAAGGCCAUGGCGCCGACGAGCGAGACGGCGACGAGGACCGCCAUUACGAUGCCGGCGAUGAAGCCCGCGUGCCUGCUAACUUUCUUCUUUUCAUUGUGACGAGGAACUAUCCCCACGGCCAGUGCCUGGUUCUGACAGAACGGCGACGGGUGCUGCGAGCCGUCGCCCCUGUCCAGACAGUUCUCCGACGAGAGCACCACCGUCGCCGGCUUCCCGCCCGGCCUCAAGCAGGCCGGCACGCUCCCCAUCAGGAGGUUCGACGACAGGUCGACGAGCCGGAGGUUGUCGCCGCAGGGCACCUUGUCGGACAGCGCCCCGGUGAACCUGUUCCCGGCGAUGCUCAGGUACUGGAGCGACGGCAGGGACAGCAGCGCCGGCGGGAACGGCCCGACGAAGCGGUUCAGCGACACGUCCAGAUGCUCCAGCAGGUAGAAGGAGCUCAGCUCGGCGGCGGGCAGGCCCCCGGUGAACUUGUUCCGGCUCAGCACCACCGACGCCACCUUCCUCCCGAGCCGCGGGAACGCCGGUCCGAGCGAGUUGCCGCCGACGUCGAGCACCUGGAGGCUCGCCAGGCCGCGCAUGUCGGGGAGGUUCCCGGAGAGGUUGUUGGAGGCGAGCACGAGCGAGCGCAGCGACGGCGCCCUCCCAAGCGACCCCGGCACGGUGCCGGCCAGCGAGUUGUUCCGCAGGCUGAGCACGGCCAGCGCCGGCAGCGCGGUGCCGACCCAGCCCGGCACCUCGCCGCCGAUCAUGUUGUCGUCGAGGAUGAGCGUCUGCAGGCCCUGCAGCCGCGAGAGGCCCCUCGGGAUGGGCCCGUAGAGGUAGUUGCGGCUCAUGUUGACGAUCUCCAGCCCGGCGAGCCGCUCCAGCUUCCCCGGCAGGGGGCCCCAGAGGCCGAGGCCGGAGAGCGUGAGCACCUUGAGGUCGGGGAGCCUGGACAGCGUGGUGACCAGUGCACCAAGGGAGAAGUUAAGCGGGAGCGGCGGCGCGCCGCCCGCAUCCCCGGCGAUGUGGAGCUGCGUGACGGUGUCCCCGUAGCAGACGACGGAGGCGGAGGGGGCGACGGUGCCGCCGCCGCCGCAGAAGUCGGUGGUGCGGCGCCAGUGCCGGAGCGCCGGGGGGCGGCCCAGCAGCUGCUGCACCUUGAGCAGAGUCCACGUCUGGGAGGCCUGCAGCAGCGGCGCGCCCCCCGGGAGCAGCACCGCCAGGAAGACCAACGCCAGCAAGCAGCUCGGACCAGCCGCCGCCAUUGCCGGCCAAGAAGACGGCGAUUCCUUCGGCGUCACUGCUCGAGCGAUCGAUCAGCAAGAACCGGCGGAGCAAAAAGGCGAUCGGAUUAA